GCGAAAGUAGCUUAAUUGGUAAAGCUUAAUCUUGCCAAGAUUAAUAUUACGGGUUCGAAUCCCGUCUUUCGCU
rnacentral:tRNA from 1 species